rnacentral:rRNA from 1 species
AUUGAACGCUGGCGGCAGGCUUAACACAUGCAAGUCGAACGAGCGGCGGACGGGUGAGUAAUGUCUGGGAAACUGGCUUAUGGAGGGGGAUAACUACGGGAAACGGUAGCUAAUACCGCGUACCAUAAGAUGAGCCCAAGUGGGAUUAGCUAGUUGGUGGGGUAAAGGCUCACCAAGCCGACGAUCCCUAGCUGGUCUGAGAGGAUGACCAGCCACACUGGAACUGAGACACGGCCCAGACUCCUACGGGAGGCAGCAGUGGGGAAUAUUGCGCAAUGGGGGCAACCUGACGCAGCCAUGCCGCGUGAGUGAAGAAGGCCUUCGGGUUGUAAAGUUCUUUCGGUGGCGAGGCGUUAACUACAGAAGAAGCACCGGCUAACUCCGUGCCAGCAGCCGCGGUAAUAC